rnacentral:tRNA from 1 species
GCCCCCGUAGCUCAGCGGAAGAGCAGCACCCUUCUAAGGCGUUGGUCGCUGGUUCGAAUCCAGCCGGGGGCA